rnacentral:lncRNA from 1 species
CCACAGAGCAAAUACCAAAUAAGAGGAUGUUAGGGCACAGGAGGAGGACCGGGUUAAUUGGGUCUUGCUGAGUAUGGGGAGCAAGGGUCACAGCUGGGCCCUGCAGGGUUCCUGUUUGCCUUUGAUUCCAUCUGGGCAGGGAGGGAACUGGCCCCUAAGCCCGUGAGGAAGGUUUGCUUUGGCCAGAGAUCUGACCCAGGCCCUGGCCCGGAGCACCCCGCCUCCUUGCUCCGCCUAUCAAGAGGCAGCCUGGCUUGGUCCCCAGCCUCCUCUUUCCUCCCUUACCAGCCCCUUCCACUUAGCCCAGGAUGUAGCUCUGUUUAUCUGCCUGUUCCCUUUGGCCUCUGGACACCCAACUAGGACAGGAUGCCCUGCAAACAUCUGGCACGCGAAGACAUGGCCCUCCUCCCACAGAAUGGACUCUUCCUCGAACUCCAGGGAGCUUGGCCUCCUCGGCACCUCAGUUUCUCUGAAAGUCCAGGAUCCUUCUGCUCUAGUGCUCCUGUCUGGAAGUUCCCAUCACUUCCCGGGUGUGUGUGUGUGUGUGUGUGUGAGACUUCGUCGACAGUACAUUCUCUUUCUGACAGCUAUUGCAUCAUUCAGACAUUCAGUCUACGUGCUGGACACUUACUGUGCACCAUAUUCUACGUGAGUAUUUGAGAGACAACUACGACCCAGGCAAGCAAGGUUCCCACUCUCAUGGCUCUUUUGUUCAUGAUCCCAUGCCAUUAGGUCACCACAUCCCUCCAUUAGGUCACCACAUCCCUCCAUUAGGUCACCACAUCCCUCCAUCCCAUCCCUGAGCCAGUCUUCUCAGGGUCAGCUCCUAGCUCUUGAGGACUCCCUUUCCCCAUUUCCUUAAGCUUGACAGGCCUUCAAGGCCUAUGAUACGGCCCCAAUAACCUCUUCCAGUAUCUCCGUGUUUCUCCUCUGGGCUCUGGGUACUGGAGUGUCCUGGUCAACUAACCGUCAGCUAGAGAUCUUGGUGGAUCCAAGGGAGCACUGAAGGCACAAGGCUGCUCCAUGUCUCUGUUUCCCACCUGGCCCUCUCUAGGGUCCCCACCAUGGUCUGAUACAGCUGAGGUUGGUCCUCGCCUGACCCAGGUUGGUCCUGAGCAAAGACCCAGCCCUGGCACGUUGGAAGUCACUCUGGACUGGAUGGGACAGUGGGCAGAGGCUUUUGAUGAGGACUUGUUCCACCACAAACGUACCUUGUAUGCUUGACUGGAUCCUUUACCUCACAUUAACUCAGUGAGGUAGUUGGACUAGCUAAGAAUUCUCAUCUGUAGCAGCAUCUUCGUGCCCCAUGCCUGGGUCUCACCCCUAGGGAUCCUAUUUCAGUUUGUCUGAGGUAGGGCCCAAGCCUAAGCAUUUUUCAAAGGUUCCCCAGAUGAUUCAAUGGGCAGGCAGGGUUGAGAGUCACUGAGCCUGAUUGCCACCGAGAUCUCUAGCUCAUCACAGCUAAUGGUGAGUCGACCAGGACACUACAUGCUUGCCCCCCACCUCCCCCAGUUGAAACCUUAACCCCUAAUGUGAGAGUGUCAGGAGGUGGGGCCUUUGACAGGUAAUUAGAUGAUGAGAGUGCAGCCCCCAUGAUGGGUUUAGGCCCUUAAAAGAAGAGGGACAGGAGACAGCUUGCUCCCUCUCUGCUCUCUGCCAUGUGAUGGCAGAGAGGGGGGGGGGGCAUCUGUAAACCAGGAAGUGAUCCCUCCCUCACUAGAUAUGGGAUCUGCUGGCACCUUGGUCUUAGAUUUCCCAGCCUCCAGAAGGGAGGGAGACAGCAUGCAUUGCUUAAUUUGGUCCUCAUAAAAACAGAUGGGGAAGCAGAGACACACAAAUUCUAAGUAGUUCUAAGGGGGACUGGGAUUCAAACCUAGUCAGUUUGAUUCCAGAGUCUGAACAUUUAAUCUUCAUGCGGUGAAGAGAAGGAUCCACUCUGGGUCCUUGUCUCCAGGAGCACAAGAGCAGAAAUCCCUGACUUCAAAGAUGACAGGAGGAGUGUACCAGAAGAUAGAGGGGAGGGAAGAGGGCCAAUCAAUCCCCAGUAGCCGUACACUGUUUUUAAUCCACAGGAAGAUGGCAAGAAGGAGAAGAUGGCUCUUAGUUGGAAGAUUCAGGAAAGUCUUCGUGGAGGAGGUGACAUUCUAGUUAGGCCAUGACAGAGAUCUGGCUCAGAGAGAAAAAGGAGAGGGAACAGCCUGAGCACAGGCAGACGGCGCAGUACCCAGAGCCCAAAGGAGAAACAUGGAGAUACUGGAAGAGGAUGUUGGAGCCAAAUCAUGGGCCCUGAACGCCUGUCAUUUUAAACGCUUGUGUUUCCUAAAAGGCUCUGAUGAUAAGAGUCACCUGGAUGCUUGUUAA